rnacentral:rRNA from 1 species
CACAUGCAAGUCGAACGGGCGUAGCAAUACGUCAGUGGCAGACGGGUGAGUAACGCGUGGGAACGUACCUUUUGGUUCGGAACAACUGAGGGAAACUUCAGCUAAUACCGGAUAAGCCCUUACGGGGAAAGAUUUAUCGCCGAAAGAUCGGCCCGCGUCUGAUUAGCUAGUUGGUGGGGUAAUGGCCCACCAAGGCGACGAUCAGUAGCUGGUCUGAGAGGAUGAUCAGCCACAUURGGACUGRGACACGGCCCAAACUCCUACGGGAGGCAGCAGUGGGGAAUAUUGGACAAUGGGSGCAASCCUGAUCCAGCCAUGCCGCGUGAGUGAUGAAGGCCCUAGGGUUGUAAAGCUCUUUUGUGCGGGAAGAUAAUGACGGUACCGCAAGAAUAAGCCCCGGCUAACUUCGUGCCAGCAGCCGCGGU